UACGUAGGGUGCGAGCGUUAGUCGGAAUUACUGGGCGUAAAGCGUGCGCAGGCGGCUUUGCAAGACAGAUGUGAAAUCCCCGGGCUCAACCUGGGAACUGCAUUUGUGACUGCAAGGCUAGAGUACGGCAGAGGGGGAUGGAAUUCCGCGUGUAGCAGUGAAAUGCGUAGAUAUGCGGAGGAACACCAAUGGCGAAGGCAAUCCCCUGGGCCUGUACUGACGCUCAUGCACGAAAGCGUGGGGAGCAAACAGG
rnacentral:rRNA from 1 species